GGGCUCACACAAGCGGUGGAGGAUGUGGCUUAAUUCGAGGCUACGCGAAGAACCUUAUCCUAGAUUUGACAUGCUUGAGAAUCCCUAUGAAAAUAGAGAGUGCCCUUCGGGGGAGCUCUUGCACAGGUGCUGCAUGGCUGUCGUCAGCUCGUGUCGUGAGAUGUCGGGUUUAAGUCCCUUAACGAGCGAAACCCUUAUCUCUAGUUGCCAGCGGGUAAUGCCGGGGACUCUAGAGAGACUGCCGGUGUCAAACCGGAGGAAGGUGGGGAUGACGUCAAGUCCUCAUGGCCUUUAUGUCUAGGGGCUGGCACACGUCCUACAAUGGUACGGACAAACGGACGCAAUACCGCGAGGUG
rnacentral:rRNA from 1 species